UACGGAGGGGGCUAGCGUUGUUCGGAAUUACUGGGCGUAAAGCGUACGUAGGCGGCUUUGUAAGUUAGAGGUAAAAGCCCGGGGCUCAACUCCGGAAUUGCCUUUAAGACUGCAUCGCUUGAAUCAUGGAGAGGUGAGUGGAAUUCCGAGUGUAGAGGUGAAAUUCGUAGGUAUUCGGAAGAACACCAGUGGCGAAGGCGACUCACUGGACAUGUAUUGACGCUGAGGUACGAAAGCGUGGGGAGCAAACAGG
rnacentral:rRNA from 1 species